GCAGGCUGGGGGCGGUGGGGCCUGGGGAGCUCGGGGUGCCGCACGGGAGAGCGGGAGAAGGGCUGCGGAGUGGAGCGCUGUCCCAAUGCCUCCGUACACCGACCCGCCCAGCCCGCUGCCCCUCACUCCCCUUCCCCGAGAGUUCCCCCGUGGAGUGAGGGGCAGCUGUGCUUUGUGUCAUCCUUGCCUCCUACUACGAAUGUGUAUGAAGAAAAGAGCAGACCAAUAGUUGCAACAUCGAGCCUGGGUGACCUGGGGAAAGUGCUCUCAAGGGUCCAUACCCAGAGGAUGUAUAGGUCCCAAAACCAGGUGGGUUUUCCCAGAGCAGAGAGGCUGUGAGAACCACUGACACCUGGGUAGCUAUGGAAACAGCUGAACCACUACACUGGGACCCCAAGGAGUGGGACCCCUGGGACUGAGCUCUUCCAGACUGAAAUCUUCUGCUCGGGGCUCAGUUUCUCAGGUGAUACAGGAGACAGAAAAACCAUGCCAUGUUUUCAUUUUACUCAGAGAAAAACUGAUAAGAAAAACUGACAAGCUUAAAUACAAUCUUUUUUGUCUUUGAAACAAGUACCUUUUGGAGAGGCUGUGGUAACAGUAAAACACUACAUCUUUCAUUAGGCCAGCUGGGCUGCCCAGGAAAGUUGUGAAGUCUCCAUCCCUGCAGGUAUGUAAAAGACAUGUAGAUGUGCUGCUUAGGGACAUGAGUGGUGGGCUUGGCAGUAUUGGGUUAAUGGUUGGACUCAAUGACCUUACAGGUCUUCUCCAGUCCAAAAAUUCUAUGGUUCUGUGAUUCUAAUGUGACUGGAAAAUCAGAUGAAAUUUCAGGUACAAGAAAGCACUUCUUCAGUAUCAUGCUGUAUAUGAGUUAUUCUUCUGGUAUGACUUGAUGACAGAAAAUUACAGUUUGCUAUAGUAAAACUUAGUGACUGGAGACCCCAGAUUAGUAUUACUCCUUCUUCAGGAAGAUAGUAAGCACAGAAAGGAAAGAGAGUCAGAAUGUAAUUUAGGCACUAUUUGUGCAAGGGCCAUUGCAAACACAAGCAUUUGCACAUGCUGUUGAGG
rnacentral:lncRNA from 1 species